rnacentral:rRNA from 1 species
UUGGAGGGCAAGUCUGGUGCCAGCAGCCGCGGUAAUUCCAGCUCCAAUAGCGUAUAUUAAAGUUGUUGCAGUUAAAAAGCUCGUAGUUGAAUUUCGGGAUUAAUUUAUCGGUCGUGCUUUUGUACGUACUGGUAUUAUUGAUUCCUACCUUCUGACGAACCAUGAUGUCAUUAAUUUGGUGUCUUGGGGAAUCAGGACUGUUACUUUGAAAAAAUUAGAGUGUUUAAAGCAGG